rnacentral:rRNA from 1 species
AACGCUGGCGGCGCGCUUAACACAUGCAAGUCGAGCGAGAACCGGAGCUUCGGCUCCGGGGACAGCGGCGAACGGGUGAGUAACACGUGGGUAAUCUGCCCUCGGUUCUGGGAUAGCCCGGGGAAACCCGGAUUAAUACCGGAUAGCCUCUCUGGCCUGCGGGCCGGCGAGAAAAGGUAGCUUCGGCCUCCGACUGAGGAUGAGCCCGCGGCGGAUUAGCUUGUUGGCGGGGUAACGGCCCACCAAGGCGA